AACAACUCUUGCAUCUUUAUCAAAAAUGGCGUCCAUUACCAUCGUGCUUGCAAUAUUCAGGCUGAGGCGAAGUGGCAUAAAGUGCCGACCAAGAAUAAUAAAGAGGGUAAUGGGACUUCACAAUCAAAUCUCUUUUCCACCACGUACAGUUACAAAACUAAAAUAUCUCAAAACCAACCUCGCUGUACAAAUCAUUCUACAGAUUCUCGCAUCAAAUUCAAAAGUCAAUAGAAGUUUCCUCUUUUCAACAAUAGGAACUCAUUAUUACUCUUUGCAUCAAAAGUGGAACAUUUGACAAAAAACGAAUCAGCCAUCAGCCACAACAAUGAAAUACAAAAAAUAUAUAUUUUCAACAAAAAAAAGAAUCUUGUCAAGCAAUUUCUUCAACCGAACUUGAUAAACUCGGAAGUAAAUAUAUCUUUUGUUCGUGGUCUAACAAGGACACAAUCUCUCUAGGAAAGUUUAUUCCAAUGAUGCCAAGAAGGUGUUCAAUCGAAUGACUUGAUCAAGAUUUUUCCUUCAACUAUGUUUGUCACACAUGGCAUACCAUAACCUCUGGAGACCACCACUGCAUCAGCCACCGCCCAGCCACACCACUACACCCCACAACACAACAUUAACCGCUGGCAUCACAGUGGACUUUGUUCCAUGGUUCUUGCUUUUAUCCACUGUACAAAGUAUUAAUUUCUAAUGAGUAGAUAGAGGUGUGCCAUAGACUUAUUCUCUGGAUUGGUCAUCCCCAUUUUGUUGAAUGGGCUUUCCUCACAAAAGUGUGGACAGAUGGAUUAUUAGAUUGGGAGUUAAUUGUUCCAAUGGUCCCUGAACUUAGGUUCGUGUCUUUGAUUGGCUACUGAAAUUUAAAAUGUCAAGUGUUGACCACUAAAUUUUGAAAAGUGUCGAGUUUUGUUCACUAAAGUUUAAAAUGUCGAAUUUUGAUCAUUGAACUUAAGUGAAUGUUUUUUAUUAUUCACUGAACUUAGAU
rnacentral:lncRNA from 1 species